CUGGGCCGCAGUACACAGGCGCCCAGGCCUUGCUCCGCCCCUCGGAUAAAGAAGCCAGAAAGUCUUGGACCUUGGACUUUGGGCCUGAGCGGAAAGAGCGGGAAGAUAUCCCCUACACAGAAAAAAGAAAAUGUGAACAAUACUUUCCUCAGAUGGUUGUGAUGUAAGUCAGAUGUACUGCAGAAGAUGUGAAUCAGAUCCACUGGUGAACUCGGCUGUGAGAAAACUUGGAGUUUAAGAGACACCACAUGGAUCUCCCAGGACAAUUUCCGGACUCAGACAAGGGACACUGGUGUGUUGGAGACAGAAGCAAGGGCCUUCACACUGUAAACCAGCCCCUUUUAUUUUGAGAGGGACUAAGUCACCAAGGAUGAGCUCGAAAUUUUGAACCUCCUGUUUCAACCUCCCAAAGUGCUGGGAUUACAGGUAUAUGCCAACAUGCCCAGGUUCCAUAUAUCUCUUUCAACAACUAACUUCAAAUUUGUAGGUAAGUUGUUUCUGUUCGCUUUUCCUAAUUCCUCAUUUCUUAGCUCAGUUGCAUAUAUUUUCUUUCACACACAAGUUUCUCAAAGAUCUAAAAUUUCUCUAUUGUUACAUUUAUGAACCAUACUGAAGAAAAUUUAUGGUUUAAAAACUAGAGUUUGCAUUUUUAUUUGUUUUUUGACACAGGGUCCCACUUUAUAUUCAGGCUGGCCUUGAAGUCAUUAUGCAGCCCAGAUUGGUCUUGAAC